GUGGGUGUAGCUCAGUUGGUAGAGCACUGGUUUGUGGCACCAGUGGUCGCGGGUUCAAAUCCCGUCAUCCACCCCA
rnacentral:tRNA from 1 species